GGGCCCCUACGGGACGCAGCAGUGAGGAAUAUUGGUCAAUGGGCUUACGCCUGAACCAGCCAAGUCGCGUGAGGGAAGACUGCCCUAUGGGUUGUAAACCUCUUUUGUCAGGGAGCAACGCCGGCUACGUGUAGCCGGACUGAGAGUACCUGAAGAAAAAGCAUCGGCUAACUCCGUGCCAGCAGCCGCGGUAAUACGGAGGAUGCGAGCGUUAUCCGGAUUUAUUGGGUUUAAAGGGGGCGUAGGCGGAAUGCCAAGUCAGCGGU
rnacentral:rRNA from 1 species